rnacentral:misc_RNA from 1 species
UAUCAGUGGAUAGCCUAGUCAGAGUAAGUGUAUAGUAUUAGUGAGUUCAAGAGAGAUAAGAGGAUCGAGAAAUCUGGUAUAUGGGAUGUAGCGUAGUAACUAUGCAAUAUUCUCGAUAUUUAUGCUGUAAGCUGCAGAUUACAGUGUCGACAUAGGAUUAUUGUAUAGAGCUGCGUGCUUCCCCGUGGUGCACCAUGAUUAGGGUGUUCGUAAAUAACCUCUAUUUUGGUACAGUUAUGUCAAGAUAGAGUUUUAUUUCUGUAGAGGAGUUAGGAAAACUCCUAAUUAGGGUUUAAGACCCUAGAGAUUGAACACCAAAAGUCGCAGUUGGGUGAUAACUAAAGUCAGUGACUCAGUUAUUCUACUUUGAGCGCAGAGUUAGAACAUAAGUGGCACAAGACUAGAGGUUUUUAAUAUGAUUGCAGUGUAAUGGUGACACCUACUUGGUGGGAUCAUCUGAUCUCUGGUAUGAGAUCGUUGGCAUUACAGUGGACGUAUUGCCUAGAGUUUAAUGAAGAUAGCACCUCCUUCGUGUGACAUUGGAGCGUAAGUACGACUCUACUCCCUAAAGG